GGGUCGAUGGCGUAGUUGGUUAUCGCAUCUGUCUAACACUUAUGUGCACAGAAGGUCCUCAGUUCGAACCUGGGUCGACUCA